AGAUAUAAGACUAGUUCUGGAUACUAUUUUAUCUUGUCCACAAGAACUACUAUAUACUUAGAAUAUGAAGGAACAGUAUUUGUAGAAUGGAAUAUCCCUUUGUUAUGCACUGUUGCUAAUAAAAGCUCACCAAGUACAACUCUGCGUUGCCCAGUGCCUGGAGUUCACAAAAUUAAACCAGUAGUUACAAGACAGGCAUUUGAAGAUAAGGAACGUUACUUAUAUAUACUUGCUGAUGUGAAUUGUUUCCUGUGGUAUGUGUAUCUUUACCAGGAAG